rnacentral:rRNA from 1 species
UACGAAGGGGGCUAGCGUUGCUCGGAAUCACUGGGCGUAAAGCGCACGUAGGCGGAUUGCUAAGUCAGGGGUGAAAUCCUGGAGCUCAACUCCAGAACUGCCUUUGAUACUGGCGAUCUUGAGUCCGGGAGAGGUGAGUGGAACUGCGAGUGUAGAGGUGAAAUUCGUAGAUAUUCGGAAGAACACCAGUGGCGAAGGCGACUUACUGGACGACUGUUGACGCUGAGGUGUGAAAGCGUGGGGAGCAAACAGG